rnacentral:tRNA from 8 species
AACUCAUUUAUAAAGGAUUAUCCUUUUUUUAGAA